rnacentral:rRNA from 1 species
GACGGAAGGUGCAAGCGUUGCUCGGAAUCACUGGGCGUAAAGGGUGCGUAGGCGGCCGCGCAAGUCUGGUGUGAAAGCCCCGGGCUCAGCCCGGGAAGGGCGCUCGAAACGGCGCGGCUCGAGUGCCGGAGGGGAGAGUGGAAUUCCUGGUGUAGCGGUGAAAUGCGUAGAUAUCAGGAGGAACGCCAGUGGCGAAGGCGGCACUCUGGGCCGGUACUGACGCUGAGGAGCGAAAGCGUGGGGAGCGAACAGG